rnacentral:rRNA from 1 species
AUUGAACGCUGGCGGCAGGCCUAACACAUGCAAGUCGAGCGGAUGAGUGGAGCUUGCUCCAUGAUUCAGCGGCGGACGGGUGAGUAAUGCCUAGGAAUCUGCCUGGUAGUGGGGGACAACGUUUCGAAAGGAACGCUAAUACCGCAUACGUCCUACGGGAGAAAGUGGGGGAUCUUCGGACCUCACGCUAUCAGACGAGCCUAGGUCGGAUUAGCUAGUUGGUGAGGUAAAGGCUCACCAAGGCGACGAUCCGUAACUGGUCUGAGAGGAUGAUCAGUCACACUGGAACUGAGACACGGUCCAGACUCCUACGGGAGGCAGCAGUGGGGAAUAUUGGACAAUGGGCGAAAGCCUGAUCCAGCCAUGCCGCGUGUGUGAAGAAGGUCUUCGGAUUGUAAAGCACUUUAAGUUGGGAGGAAGGGCAGUAAGUUAAUACCUUGCUGUUUUGACGUUACCAACAGAAUAAGCACCGGCUAACUUCGUGCCAGCCGCCGCUGUAAAAC